rnacentral:misc_RNA from 1 species
AAGUCGUAACAAGGUCUCCGUUGGUGAACCAGCGGAGGGAUCAUUACAAGAGUUGCAAAACUCCCUAACCCUUUGUGAACCUUACCUGUUCGUUUUGCUUUCGGCAGGCAGCCCCAGGGCGGGGCUCGCGGCCUGGGCUUCCCCAGGUGUCUGCCGUAGGGCUAACAACAAACUCUUUAUUGUAUCAUGCUGUCUGAGUUAUUAAAAAAACAAGUUAAAACUUUCAACAACGGAUCUCUUGGUUCUG